AGAAUCAACGCUGGCGGCGUGCCUAACACAUGCAAGUCGAACGAGAAAGUGGAGCAAUCCAUGAGUAAAGUGGCGCACGGGUGAGUAACACGUGACUAACCUACCCUUGAGUGGGGGAUAACCUAGAGAAAUCUGGGCUAAUACCGCAUAAUACCUUCGGGUCAAAGGAGCAAUUCGCUUAAGGAGGGGGUCGCGGCCGAUUAGUUAGUUGGCGGGGUAAUGGCCCACCAAGACUAUGAUCGGUAUCCGGCCUGAGAGGGCGCACGGACACACUGGAACUGAAACACGGUCCAGACUCCUACGGGAGGCAGCAGUGGGAAUUUUGCGCAAUGGGGGAACCCUGACGCAGCAACGCCGCGUGGAGGAUGAAGUCCCGUUGGGACGUAAACUCCUUUCGAUCGGGACGAUAAGUGACGGUACCGAGAGAAGAAGCCCCGGCUAACUUCGUGCCAGCAGCCGC
rnacentral:rRNA from 1 species